UACGUAGGUGGCAAGCGUUGUCCGGAUUUACUGGGCGUAAAGAGCGCGCAGGCGGUCGUUCAAGUCGCGUGUGAAAGCCCCCGGCUCAACUGGGGAGGGUCACGCGAUACUGAUCGACUCGAAGGCAGGAGAGGGAAGUGGAAUUCCGGGUGGAGUGGUGAAAUGCGUAGAGAUCCGGAGGAACACCAGAGGCGAAGGCGGCCUACUGGGCUGCACCUGACGCUGAACCGCGAAAGCUAGGGGAGCGAACGGG
rnacentral:rRNA from 1 species